rnacentral:rRNA from 1 species
GAGUUUGAUCCUGGCUCAGGAUAAACGCUGGCGGCGUGCAUGAGACAUGCAAGUCGAACGGACGAUCAGGGCUUGCUCUGAUCGUUAGUGGCGGACGGCUGAGUAACGCGUAGGUGACCCGCCCCGAAGUGGGGGAUAACUGCCCGAAAGGGUGGCUAAUACCGCAUGUGGUGGUUCGUUCAUUCGAACCACCAAAGCAGCAAUGCGCUUCGGGAGGGGCCUGCGUCCGAUUAGCUCGUUGGUGGGGUAACGGCUCACCAAGGCGACGAUCGGUAGGUGGUCUGAGAGGACGAUCACCCAGACUGGGACUGAGACACGGCCCAGACUCCUACGGGAGGCAGCAGUCGGGAAUUUUGCGCAAUGGACGAAAGUCUGACGCAGCAACGCCGCGUGAGGGAUGAAGGCCUUCGGUUGUAACCUACUUUCUCAGGGACGAGUAAU